rnacentral:rRNA from 1 species
AGCAACUUGCAGGAAUGAGAGUUAAUAUAAAUGAUUUAUUAACUUGCUUGACUAGGUCUUAUAAAGUUCUGGAUAAAGCUGAUAAUGACAACUUUAUAUCCAUAGGUCUCGACUAAAUCUUGUGCCAGCAGUCGCGGUAAGACAAGGGAGACGAGUGUUAUUCAUCUUGAACAGGUAUAUUGGGUACCUAGACUGUGUAUUUAGGCUUUUAUAGUACCUACUACACUAGAGUUUAAUAUGUGAGAGGAAGAUGUCAGAAUUAUUGGUGUAGAGAUGAAAUCCUUUAAUACUAAUAGGACUGAUAAUGGCGAAGGCAAACCUCUAUGUAUAUGUACUUUACUUUACUUAAAUAUAUUAGAAUUAAAUGAAAAAAGUAGUUAAAUAAUAUUAAUUGGUUUAUAAUCAUAAUUAAUCGCUUGUAUGUAAAAUAUAUAGAGCUAAAAAAAGAAAAGUAGAGUACAGAACUGACGUUGAGGGACGAAGGCUCAGAGAGUGAAGAGGAUUAGAUACCCCCGUAGCCUGGGCAGACAAUGAUGAGUGCCAUAGGUUGGCUUUUAAGUUGAACUAUAAAUGAAAGUGGAAGCACUCCACCUCAAGAGUAAUGUGGCAACGCAGGAACUGAAAUCAUUAGACCGUUUCUGAAACCAGUAGUGAAGU